rnacentral:rRNA from 1 species
GAGAACUUAGCAGAGAUGCUUUGGUGCCUUCGGGAACUCUGAGACAGGUGCUGCAUGGCUGUCGUCAGCUCGUGUUGUGAAAUGUUGGGUUAAGUCCCGNAACGAGCGCAACCCUUAUCCUUUGUUGCCAGCGGUCCGGCCGGGAACUCAAAGGAGACUGCCAGUGAUAAACUGGAGGAAGGUGGGGAUGACGUCAAGUCAUCAUGGCCCUUACGAGUAGGGCUACACACGUGCUACAAUGGCGCAUACAAAGGGAAGCGACCUCGCGAGAGCAAGCGGACCUCAUAAAGUGCGUCGUAGUCCGGAUUGGGGUCUGCAACUCGACUCCAUGAAGUCGGAAUCGCUAGUAAUCGUGGAUCAGAAUGCCACGGUGAAUACGUUCCCGGGCCUUGUACACACCGCCCGUCACACCAUGGGAGUGGGUUGCAAAAGAAGUAGGUAGCUUAACCUUCGGGAGGGCGCUUACCACUUUGUGAUUCAUGACUGGGGUGAAGUCGUAACAAGGUAGGCGUAGUGCU